rnacentral:rRNA from 1 species
GAAUAUUGGACAAUGGGCGCAAGCCUGAUCCAGCCAUGCCGCGUGGAUGAUGAAGGCCCUAGGGUUGUAAAGUCCUUUCGGCGGGGCAGAUAAUUACGGUACCCGCAGAAGAAGCCCCGGCUAACUACGUCCCAGCCGCCGCGGUAAUACGAAGGGGGCUAGCGUUGCGCGGAAUCACUGGGCGUUAAGCGCACGUAGGCGGCUUCUUAAGUCAGGGGUGUAAUCCUGGAGCUCAACUCCAGAACUGCCUUUGAUACUGAGGAGCUUGAGUUCGGGAGAGGUGAGUGGAACUGCGAGUGUAGAGGUGAAAUUCGUAGAUAUUCGCAAGAACACCAGUGGCGAAGGCGGCUCACUGGCCCGAUACUGACGCUGAGGUGCGAAAGCGUGGGGAGCAAACAGG